rnacentral:rRNA from 1 species
UACGAAGGGUGCAAGCGUUACUUGGAAUUACUGGGCGUAAAGCGUGCGUAGGUGGUUUGUUAAGUCUGAUGUGAAAGCCCUGGGCUCAACCUGGGAACUGCAUUGGAAACUGGCUUACUAGAGUGCGGUAGAGGGGUGUGGAAUUCCCGGUGUAGCAGUGAAAUGCGUAGAUAUCGGGAGGAACAUCUGUGGCGAAGGCGACACCCUGGACCAGCACUGACACUGAGGCACGAAAGCGUGGGGAGCAAACAGG